rnacentral:rRNA from 1 species
CACACCGCCCGUCACACCAUGGAAGCCAGCUGUACCGGAAGUCGGUGCAUUAACCCGCAAGGGAGGCAGGCGACCACAGUGGGUUUAGCGACUGGGGUG